rnacentral:rRNA from 1 species
UACGGGGGGGGCAAGCGUUGUUCGGAAUUACUGGGCGUAAAGGGCUCGUAGGUGGCCAACUAAGUCAGACGUGAAAUCCCUCGGCUUAACCGGGGAACUGCGUCUGAUACUGGAUGGCUUGAGUUCGGGAGAGGAGAGUGGAAUUCCCAGUGUAGAGGUGAAAUUCGUAGAUAUUGGGAAGAACACCGGUGGCGAAGGCGGCUCUCUGGACCGAGACUGACGCUGAGGAGCGAAAGCCAGGGGAGCAAACGGG